UACGUAGGGAGCAAGCGUUGUUCGGAUUUACUGGGCGUAAAGGGCGCGUAGGCGGCGCGGUAAGUCACUUGUGAAAUCUCUGAGCUUAACUCAGAACGGCCAAGUGAUACUGCAGUGCUAGAGUGCAGAAAGGGCAAUCGGAAUUCCUGGUGUAGCGGUGAAAUGCGCAGAUAUCAGGAGGAACACCUAUUGCGAAGGCAGCUCGCUGGGACGUAACUGACGCUGAGACGCGAAAGCGUGGGGAGCAAACAGG
rnacentral:rRNA from 1 species